AGAAAAAGGAAAAUUCAAGAGAAAAACAAAAGGAGGAUGCCUCGCCUACGGGACGCCGUUGUAGUACAAUUAUAUACUUUUUAUACGUGUCUCAGCGUUAGGAGUGUCAAAGGAUUGGGAAACAAAGAUCCCUUGACGAGAGUCUCGGCGUUUCUUCACUUGUUCAGCGGCCUCUUCGAAUGGUGGAUUCCUCAGGUACAGUCUGUGACGUAAACUGCGCGUCAUUUCGGUUGAAUAUUCAGACGAAAUCAUCGUCGAAUGACUUUCGUAGACAAAAAUCUCCGCGGGGAAAGUAAGAGUGAUUUAAUCCUGUUUUUUGCCUCAUUCGGACUGACAAACGUAGCGAAUUUCUACUCUCUUCAUAAUGUUUUAUUUACCUAAAACGAGACACUCGAAUUACGCAACGCGUACAGCUUUCGACGGACGGAUAGAAGCGAUGCGGAGAGAAUAAUAUGCUUCAAAGGGUACCGAUGAAUUCUCAAUCCCAGGCGCUGAGGACGCUCCGCUUUCAGGAUUACACGCUAUACGGCCCUCGCGAAACUGGGUCACCUUGCCGGAGGUUUUGCAACUCUGAUCUCCGAGAGUACCUAAGGAAACUGUAGUCGAGCUGAGAGGAACGCGGACUCUGCAGCACUCGAGUUUUUAGCUCGUGCUGCCUCUUUCGUGCAUACGCUAAUCUACGCGAAGAUAGAAAAAUUGUUGUACGUGCAGAAUUAAACGUAUCAAACUUCGCGGCGGCGGCGGCGGCGGCUCGACGUCGAAUACGCAAAAAAGGGCAGCGCGCUCCCUUGCCGCACUUUUUUCGACUCGAAUGUUACGGUUUUCGAGCCUUUCUUUUCUUGAGAAACUCUCAUGAGGCUUCGGUUAAACUCAUCACGAGUUCGUUGCUCACACUUUGGUGAUUGAACGACCGAGAACGAUCUCGCCUGACUGUGACGUUUCCUACUCUUCUGCAUGAUUUCGUAUUCCAAUGAUUUCAGUCGCGUAACAUUAAUUUCGAAAAAAUUUCGCAGAACUUUGGCCACUUGAUAUCGACUUGAAACGAAAUAUCUCAAAGUAUCGAGGUUGCGAUCGAUCACACGCUCGAUUUGACUUUGAUACGCUCAUAAGUGGAUACACAUUCGCAGCUUCUCUUAUCAUUCGCGUUCGGUCGAUUGGCUGAUACGUGUACGCCGGUGGCCAGUCGCGCUCUUUUCUCCGCCCCUAGACGCACCGGGUGGUAACGAGCGAUCGAAUGAUUUUUGUUUGAGCAAAAAUCAUUGAGAAUCGAUGAUUCGAAUCUUACGUUUCAUCGUCCCUGGAUAAGCCUUCGCGGAGUUCGUCGACAAAGUAUUUACAACUUCACCUUUGAAUCCGCUUCUUCUUCACUGCAAUGAUUCUCUUCGAACGAGAUUCUCAAUGUCGCAGGGGAUGCCGAUUAAAUGAUGGAAAACUCCACUUAUCUUUUUUUUUUGACAAAUUCUUAUAAGUUAGAAUUAGUUUUUGCCAUUUUUAGCAAUUACAAGAGUCGAGCCAGUGACUGGACAGAAAUACAUUUACAAUACGUCAACAUUCAACCUCCUCGCGGUUCUCGCCCUGGCGAAUCUCGCGCUCUCUUGUCCAGCCGAGCGGACCUUCGAGUUGGGAAAAAAUACGAAGACUAGAAUCGUCCUCACCGAAAAUAAGAUCGUAGAGCCGAGCCCGAGAAUCAACGCGAUCAAGUCCCGCGGUCUAAACGAUGACUCUGAUUUCUUCGUCGGCGAUCUGAUCCUCGGUGACGAUCACGAAGGUUCGGAUACGUACAUCGAUCAUAUGGAAAUCACCAACCCCACGGAGGAGAUCGUCAGUCAAUUUGUGCAGUUCACCAUCCCUGAGAAAAUAAUAAACUUUGUGGCCAUAUUGAACGAAUCGGGAACUAAGGUAGCGGUGUGCGAUACUGAAAACACUCUUGGUUCUUCGACCGGCGUCAUCAAUAUUCGUCAGUUGCCCAACAGUACGACGAAACUGUUUAUCAUGGUCUCAGCUUAUUGAGGAGUGACAAAUCCAACGAUUCUCCAGCGCACUCCCGAACUUGAUUAUCGUCAAAUGCAUUUAUACUCUAUUCGUAGGGAAACAAAUGGAUAAUUUUAUGGAAUUUUAUGGGAUGAAUAAAU
rnacentral:lncRNA from 1 species